CCUACGGGUGGCAGCAGUGAGGAAUAUUGGUCAAUGGCCGGAAGGCUGAACCAGCCAUGCCGCGUGAAGGUCAGUGCCCUAUGGGCGUUAAACUUCUUUUGUGCGGGAGCAAUAAUGGUCACGUGUGGCCAGACGAGAGUACCGUACGAAUAAGCAUCGGCUAAAUCCGUGCCAGCAGCCGCGGUAAUACGGGGGAUGCAAGCGUUAUCCGGAUUUAUUGGGGUUAAAGGGUGCGUAGGCUGUGAGGUAAGUCAUCGGUGAAAUGCCCCCGUUCAACGGGGUGAAGUGCCAUUGAUACUGCCUUGCUGGAAUGCGGAUGCCGUGGGAGGAAUGUGUGGUGUAGCGGUGAAAUGCAUAGAUAUCACACAGAACACCGAUUGCGAAGGCAUCUCACGAAUCCGCGAUUGAUGCUGAUGCACGAAAGCGUGGGUAUCAAACAGGAUUAGAUACCCCGGUAGUC
rnacentral:rRNA from 1 species